CAAACACCAUCUCACGCCAAGAACCUUCAACAUGAACAUUUUAAGAUUAGAGAGUGUGUGUUGUAACAACAAUUAUAAUUGUUAAACAGUAAAAAUAUUUUCAGCUUACAAUUAGUCGAAUGUUUUAGAUUGAAAAUUCAUAGACAUUUAUAGUAUCUUCAUUCAGUGAUGCUUCAAGAGAUGGAGGGGUCAGGUUCAUAAUGGCAUUCACUUUUUUCUUUUUCUGUAUUUCUUUUGUGCUUCUCUCCACAUCUCUCUCAUUUUCUCUUGACUUGA